CAGUAGCCGCGGUAAUACGUAGGUGGCAAGCGUUGUCCGGAAUUAUUGGGCGUAAAGGGUGCGUAGGCGGUCUGAUAAGUCUGAUGUGAAAUCUAUGGGCUCAACCCAUAGUCUGCAUCGGAAACUGUCAGGCUUGAGGAUGGGAGAGGUGAGUGGAAUUUCCGGUGUAGCGGUGAAAUGCGUAGAUAUCGGAAGGAACACCUGUGGCGAAAGCGGCUCACUGGACCAUUUCUGACGCUGAUGCACGAAAGCUAGGGGAGCAAACAGGAUUAGAUACCCCCGUAGUCCCUGUCUCUUAUAC
rnacentral:rRNA from 1 species